rnacentral:ncRNA from 2 species
CUAUCGUAUGCGCGCGUCUGGUGCCCGCUGCCGCGCUCGGCGGCGGCGGUUGAACGGGAAACAGGAAGCGAUGCGCAUCCAGCGGCGCCUCGCGUGGCCUGUGCUGUCCUCGCAACGGUACGCCGCCGGCGGCGCGCGCAAGCGGGCCGCGCGGAUCGACGAACGCCACUGCCGCGCGCGGCGGGAAGGCCUCGAUCCGUUCGUUUCGAUCGGCGGUCAGCCCGGAUACCGGCCGACGCAAUGGCGGGUUC